CUCCCCCAUUCAUGCUCUGUCUCUCUCUGUCCCAAAAAUAAAUAAAUAAAAUCCAUUAACUGAUUUUCCAGGAAAACUAUUUCUUGGGCUACCCAAUAGACUAUAAUUCCUCAAGAGCAGAGGCCAUGUUUUCAUUCUCUACAUCUUACCCUAUAUACAUGCUUUAUAGUAAGGACUCAUUACAAAUUCACUGACUCUAAAUAAAAGUUAUUGGCGUGCCUGGGUGGCUUGAUUUCAGCUCAGGUCAUGACCUUACGGUUCAUGAG